rnacentral:rRNA from 1 species
UGUGUAGGCGGUUGCUUAAGUUUGGUGUGAAAUCUCCCGGCUCAACUGGGAGGGUGCGCCGAAUACUGAGUGACUUCGAGUGCGGGAGAGGAAAGUGGAAUUCCUGGUGUAGCGGUGAAAUGCGUAGAUAUCAGGAGGAACACCGGUGGUGUAGACGGCUUUCUGGGCCGUAACUGACGCUGAGACACGAGAGCGUGGGUAGCAAACAGGAUUAGAUACCCUGGUAGUCCACGCCCUAAACGAUGCAUAUUUGGUGUGGGUCAUUCAGUUGAUCCGUGCCGGAGCUAACGCGUUAAAUAUGCCGCCUGGGGAGUACAGUCGCAAGGCUGAA